rnacentral:rRNA from 1 species
CCUACGGGUGGCAGCAGUGAGGAAUAUUGGUCAAUGGGCUUACGCCUGAACCAGCCAAGUCGCGUGAGGGAAGACUGCCCUAUGGGUUGUAAACCUCUUUUGUCAGGGAGCAAUUGGCGCUACGUGUAGCGUUAUCGAGAGUAUCUGAAGAAAAAGCAUCGGCUAACGCCGUGCCACCACCGGCGGAAAUACGGAGGAUGCGAGCGUUAUCCGGAUUAAUUGGGUUAAAUGGGUGCGUAGGCGGAAUGCCAAGUCAGCGGUAAAAUCGUGGGGCUCAACCUCGCUCCGCAGAUGAAACUGGCGUUCUUGAGUGGGCGAGAGGUAUGCGGAAUGCGUGGUGUAGCGGUGAAAUGCAUAGAUAUCACGCAGAACUCCGAUUGCGAAGGCAGCAUACCGGCGCCCAACUGACGCUGAAGCACGAAAGCGUGGGUAUCGAACAGGAUUAGAUACCCGUGUAGUC